UACGAAGGGGGCUAGCGUUGUUCGGAAUUACUGGGCGUAAAGCGCGCGCAGGCGGCUAUCCAAGUCAGUGGUGAAAGCCCGGAGCUCAACUCCGGAACUGCCAUUGAAACUGUUUAGCUUGAGUAUGAGAGAGGUGAGUGGAGUUCCCAGUGUAGAGGUGAAAUUCGUAGAUAUUGGGAAGAACACCGGUGGCGAAGGCGGCUCACUGGCUCAUUACUGACGCUCAGGCGCGACAGCGUGGGGAUCAAACAGG
rnacentral:rRNA from 1 species